GACGAACGCUGGCGGCGUGCUUAACACAUGCAAGUCGAACGGAAAGGCCCUGCUUUUGUGGGUUGCUCGAUUGUCGAACGGGUGAGUAACACGUGUGUAACCUGCCCUUGACUUUGGGAUAACUUCACGAAACUGGGGCUCAUAUCGGAUAUGAUAUCCUGCUGCAUGUUGUGGGUUGGAAAGUUUCGGCCGUUGGGGCUGGACUGGCGGCAUAUCAGCUUCUUUGUGUGGUAGUGGCUUACCAAGGCUUUGACGGGUAGCCGGCCUGAGAGGGUGAACGGCCACAUUGGGCCUGAGAUACGGCCCAGACUCCUACGGGAGGCAGCAGUGGGGAAUAUUGCACAAUGGGCGGAAGCCUGAUGUAGCAACGCCGCGUGCGGGAUGACGGCCUUCGGGUUGUAAACCGAUUUCGCAUGUGACGAAGCGUUAGUGACGGUAAUGGGUAAAGAAGCAACGGCUAACUACGUG
rnacentral:rRNA from 1 species